rnacentral:lncRNA from 1 species
CUGGAGGGACUCCAGGGGGAAGCAGCCUCUGGUGGCCAUAGUGGAUCCAAAGAGAGUCCCGGGUUUUCCUCCUAAGGCUCAGAGCAUGCCUCUAGGUUACCUCCUUUGCUCCUCUUGGUCCUCAAGAGGGGGCCAGGUGACCCUGCAGGAAGAGGCAAGGACCCGGCUGGGUGCCCCUAGGCCUGGCUCCCCCCUGACUGUGCUGCUCCCUGGCAGCGUGAAGUGACUUUCCUUCUCAAGGCUCAGAGAGCUCUUCUGUGGAAGGUCAAUUCCCUGUGAGGAAGAAGGACGGGAAUUCUGCCCAGAGACUUUGGAGAGGCCUGGGGUGUGGUCCCAGGUCCCUGACUGGUUGACCUUGGGAGCAGCACCUGAGAGUGAGUCACGGGUGUGGAUGAGUCAUUCCCGCUGGUGGCUGGCAGGGUGGGGCCACCUGACUCUCAGAUUCCCAGGUGAGCUGAGGUGGGUGGGGCGCAGAGGUGAGGGCGGAGUCCCAGCGUGGGCCUCAGUUUCUCUGCCCACGAGUUGAGCACCUCCGUCCCCCCUCCCCACCACCUAUCAAGAUUGUCCUGAGGACAAAAUAAGCUCCAAGAUGCCAGAGGGCUUUGCAAGGUGUGAAACAGGAAGCAACACAGGAAGCAACACAGGAAGCAGGAAGCCACAACCUUCUGCUUCUGACAAGGGAAGAGAAGGAAUUCUGAUUAGCAGUUGAGGGGAGCGCCUGGAGCACCUGCCAGAUCAUGCUGUCACUCUCGGUGGCCAGAAGGAGGAAGGGAUGAGUGCAGAUGGCUUGCUUGUCCCUGCAGCCACUGUCUUUCUCUCCCAGAGCCUAGGUCCCCAGCCCUUUUUAUGUUUUAUUUAGAAACAGGAUCUCACUAAAUUAUUUAGGGCCUUGCCAAGUUCCUGAGGCUGGCUUUGAACCUGCGAUCCUCCUGCCUCAGCCUCCCAAGCUGCUCGAAGGCCGCAUGCACCCCCACGCUGGGCUGAAAAUGCCUUUUGAUGGUCUCCAGGGUUCUUUGACCUCAAAGCCAGGGAUUCCUAGAGGGACCCGUGGGCCCAGAAAGGGGCCUUGUCCUACUUCAGGUGCCCAAGGACCAUGUCUCAGUUCUGAUGCUCCUGCUUUGACACCCCCAAAAGCUGAACUGCCUCAAAGUCGUCUGCUGAUAAAGAGUGUUCUAGUCUGCGCAUGCUUUUGGUAAUGAUGUCUUCUGCCUGCCCCAGAAGGCCCAGCCUGUCACCUGAGAGCUUUGCCUGUUCACCCUGUCAGUCCUCUGUCCCCUGCAGUGUACCCACCUCAUAGUCUCCAGGAAUGUUGGUUCAACUAGGAGACCCCAGUGACCUCCUGGUCAAACCCUUAGGUCUCCUUUUCUGCAUCUCUGGCGCAUGUCUAAUUCCUCCUUCUAGAACUCCUUCCUCUUUGCUCCUGGGAUGCUGUGCUAUUAUUUUAUUCCCCAAUUUCUCUGAUCUUAGUUGGGGUCCUGUUUUACUGCCUCAAAUGUUCCCCAGGAUUCUGACCACUUCUUGUCUUGAGUUGCAUAAAUAGAUCCAUUCAUGCAUUCAUUCACUUAUUUAUUUAUUUCUGAACCUGACAGAUAUUUAGGGCCUUAGCUGGGUGUUGAUACCACAGAUUUGUUCUCUGUUCAGCUGUGAAGGAAAUGAUGGGGAAAGGGUGGGGUCUUGUCUUGAUGGGUCAGGAAGCCUCCCGUGGAAAACCCAACCCCUGAGGAGGGAGCAGGAGGCGGUGGGGUGAGCAUGGAUGAUGGAAGGAUUCCUCUGGCAGAGCAAAUGGCUGGGGAGGCUCAGAGGCAGGGGAAUGCUCAGGAACUAAAAGAAGGGAGGGAGGUCUGCCAGGGAAGGGGCCAUGGUGGCAGAGGAGCGAGGGACCUGGAACAACCACGUUAUUGGGCCCUGGAGUCUGGGUUUUAUGCUAGGCACCAGGAACCGCUGGAAUUUUUUAAGGGAGGCAGUGACUUGCCCGAAUCUCAUUAGUAGAACCCCUGAAAGAGACACUAGGAGGACCCUCCGAAGCCCUGGGGCUGUAAUUUUUGGUUCUUCCACACUGGGGUGUCCUGAUGCUACACCAUGAUAUGAGGCUUGGCCUUGGGCAGUCCUGGGAGUGAGCACUUUUCCAGGAUUUUCUUGGCUCUUCUGUUUUUUCACACAGAGGCCAAACUUCACCGACUUGGACGGGGAGCUGAGUCACCAUUCCCUUGCCCUGGAGAGCCGCUCUCGUCCCAGGGGGAGACAGUGGUGGCUAAUGCCCAGAGUGCAUUUCGGCUGCCAAGGGGCCCAGGGAACCAGCAAGGGCUUCUCCUCCUCUUGAGAUAAGGAAUGGGCUAAAAAGGGGAGUUGAGCACUCUGGGAAGAGGGUUGUGUUUGCCACCUGGAGGAGCCCCUGUGCUUGGGGACUAGUGAUCAGCAUUUGGGAGUUGAGGUGGGAAGUGGCAAAAGGGGACAUGGAAAGCAGGGUUGGGAGAGGCCUUGGAUGUUUAGCCCUGACCCUCAGGGCACCACAGAGCCAUGGAACAACCUGAUCAGUGGAUUUCAGAGCAGUCAAUCACAGCAGGCAGAGGGGAGGGUGGAUUGACAAGGAUGGUGUGGGAAGCCGGUUGGCAAGAACAGUGUCACUGGGGGAACGUUGUCACCCAUCUUCACUACACACACAGAAAGAUCUUCCAUUCCCCUUUCUGUUCCUUGCCCUUGAUGGGUUUUGCCCCCAUUGACCUGCCUGAGCUGACCAGAGCUAGGCCACUGCAGCUGGUCUCAGGGGCAAAUAGGUCUGAGCAUGACCAGGGCUUGCUAUGUGUCCCUGAACACUUUCCGAGUCCCUCUCAGACUCAAUUUCCUCAUCCGUUCAAUGGGGCAAUGAGGUCGUUGAGAUCUAAGUAAUGGGAAAAGUGGGGUCCUUCGCAGUGCUCGGUGCAUGGGAUGGCAUCUUCAUCUUAUGGCUGAGGAAUCUGGGGUCCAGAGAGGGACAGUGGCACAUCCAAGGUCACUUCCGUGGAGGCCUCAAAUCUGAUCAUUUAUUGCAAUUCCAAUUUUUCAAAUGGUGAUCAUUUAAAUAUUCCCAGGUCAACUAGGGGAGAAAAUAAAACAGGCAUCUGAGGGGCAGGGGUUGUCCCCAAACAGUUCCAGGGAGCAUCCUGGAUAGAAGGACCGGAG